AAAGGCAUCGCUGCAGUUCUGCUCUGACACCCGGACCCAGCACUGCAGGACACAAACUGCUUUUCCACUCAGUGCUGAAUGCUCCAACCUCUAUAGUGUAGAGACUGACCUUCUGCCAGCAGCAGCACAGCUCUCGGUAGCUCUGGAUCCCCACAUCUGUAGUAGCAAAAGAUGCAGACAGUCACCUAGUGGGAAAUAUGGAACAUUUCUACUUUCUUAUACCCUUGAAACGCUGAGGUAUGAUGGAGAAGAGGAACUGAGGACCUCCAGAAAGAAUAUGGUGACAAGUCCUGUGCUGAGUGGUCUCCAGUAACUGGGAUGCCAGACUAUUUUUACCGUUUGAACAUGACUUUAUAUACGCUGGUGCCCGGGUUCCUACCCAGAAGCAGGAGGGCUUUGUCAGAGAGGAAGAGGAAAAUCUUCCUGUGCUGGACCUGAGUUCAGAGCAGGAGAGCGCGUGCGGAGACAUGAAUCAGAUCACAGAAUGGCCUGGGUCGAAAAGGACCGUCAUGAUCACCUGGUCUCAACCCCCUGCCGUGUGCAGGGUCGCCAGUCACGGUGAGGAAUCCUGCCCAGGGAGCCGGGGAGGGCGAGAGGAAGGGAAAGGAGGAACUCUGCUUAUGCGAACACUUCGCAGGUGCUCUUCGUUCCAUUGUCACAGCUGAUCCCUUCAGCAUAAUCUGAAGCACCGAGUGAAAGAGAUCGCAAUCUGCACUAUGAAACCUGCCGUUCUCCCCGGCUCAACCCACGGACACGUUUACACUUUCUCCACUUUUUCCCCAGCUGAGCACACUACACAUGAUGGGGCUCUCAGCUGCAGCCGCUGCUUACAGUGCUGCAUGAAACCAACACGGCCUUUGUAAAUAAAGCCAUGCAAAUACACACAGGCGCAUACUAACAAAAUGAAACACGACAUUUGCAGAAGUGCAUGC
rnacentral:lncRNA from 7 species